GUGCUCCCUUCGGCAGCACAUAUACAGAGAAGAUUAGCAUGGCCCCUACACAAGAAUGACAUGCAGAUUUGUCAAGUGUCCCAUAUUUUA
rnacentral:snRNA from 1 species